rnacentral:rRNA from 1 species
UUCCUACGGGGGGCUGCAGUGAGGAAUAUUGCACAAUAGGCGCAAGCCUGAUGCAGCAACGCCGCGUGGACGAUGAAGGCCUUCGGGUUGUAAAGUCCUUUUCUGGGGGAAGACGUGGACGGUACCCCAGGAAUAAGUGUCGGCUAACUACGUGCCAGCAGCCGCGGUAAAACGUAGGACGCGAGCGUUAUCCGGAUUUACUGGGCGUAAAGCGCGUGCAGGCGGUCUGUUAAGUUGUGCGUGAAAGCUCCCGGGCUCAACCGGGAGAGGCCGUACAAAACUGGCAGGCUUGAGGGCAGCAGAGGAGUGUGGAAUUCCGGGUGUAGUGGUGAAAUGCGUAGAUAUCCGGAGGAACACCAGUGGCGAAGGCGACACUCUGGGCUGUACCUGACGCUAAGACGCGAAAGCAUGGGUAGCGAACGGGAUUAGAUACCCCUGUAGUCCU